UUUUUCUGAUAUAGAUUAGCCAUCUGAUUCAUUUGGGAGCAGCAAGUCCAGGAACAUGGAAUGGGGGAGAAAACUCGUUAAAAUUUGGUGUCACAACAGUUGCUAAUGCUUUCUAUCGAACUCUGACGCAUCGAUAUGUGCCAGGGAUGUGACGGCCGCAAUCUGCGAGGAGGACGAAGAGGAGGACCGAUGAGUGCAGUUUUGGCGACAAAGUGUCCAAAUUUUGAUGAACCGUCAAAUAAAGAAAAUCGCUGAAUUCGAAAGUCAAUAGAAUAAUAUCUUAAACGAGGAGGAGGAUUCGGCAGUUGAUUUGGCAGAUGAUUCGGCAAAUGAUUC